AGUACCCAGAAACCUUUGAGAAUUUUACUACCAACAACAAGAGAGCUAGUACAACGAAGCUAAAUAUGUUGUGCACCUCAGUAAAUGACUUUAUUAAAAUCUCUCUGAGUGAUAUCGAUACUGAGAUGAUUGCUGUGUACAGGGACGUAUUUUCCUGCUUAAAGCAAUUUGGAUUCAACGUAGGAUGGCUUGUGAGCCGUCUGAAAUAUGUAGAACAGCUCCAAUUUUCACAGCC
rnacentral:lncRNA from 1 species